CAUUUAUGUCACCCAGACAUGAGAAUUGCAGGGAUCGGAAUAACAUGAAGAUGCCGCAUUGGCUUUUUCUUAAUUUGACAUUUUCUAGGCAUUUCUCAAAUGUGCCAGACUGGGAGAAAUGUAUGAAGUAGAGUAACACGCACCAAGUGAAACAACUCGGCACCAUAGCUGUAUGGCAGAUGUCAGAAUGUGUGAGAAGAAACAUUCAACAAAGGUUAUUUUUUCAGAAGAGAGAGACAAAGAGACAGAGCAUGAGCAGGGGAGGGGCAGAAAGAGAGGGAGACGCAGAAUUGGAAGCAGACUCCAGGCUCCGAGCUGUCAGCACAGAGCCCGUCGCGGGGCUAGAACUCAGAACGCGAGACCAGGACCCGAGCUGAAGCUGAAGUCGGACGCUCAACUGACUGAGCCACCCGGGCGCCCCAUCAUCACUUUAUUUCUAAUUUAAUUACUUAGAAAAAUUUCACAGGCUUGACUAGAUUUUGCUAUCUUCUUAUUUCUUUGAAGACCCCAGAAGAUAAAAUCGUUUUAAAAUUAUUUUCAUUUCCAAAUGAUAUACAGCAAUGAUCGAUGGCACAUCUUGUCACUGGGCCUCUAUGCUUUUUGUUUGUUUGUUUGUUUGUUUUCUGAUAGUGUUAACAAUGUAAUUGUUCUUAUUUAAACAUUUCCAUUCAAUGCAAUAUGGUUUUCAAGAAUAACCGUUUUAAACGGAUCUUUCUCUAGAGUUCACCUUCUCAAAACAAUCUAUUCUGCAGUCAGCAGCACCUUAGCAACUUUCUGCCUUAAAUAUCGUCAGUGAGAGGAGAAAAAAAAUGUCUUGAACAAAUGUCUCUCCUCAAGUGGGAGAAAGUGACAUUGCCAGUGAAUAGAGGUGCUGCUUCUUAUCUGUGCUUAAUAACCUCUCUCACUGGCACCCAUUCAGCUGCCACUUAGCACAAAGACAAGUCUGCAUGUCAUUUAACAGGCCUGCAUUAAUACACCUAACCAAUCAAUGACUUCUACCCAUUCCACAAGGACACAAGUCUGUUACCAUUACUAGACACUGUCAACAGAAAAUGACACCAGAGUCACAAAAGGCAAAAUGAUGUCAGUUUAAUCAGAGAGCAGACAAAAAGGCAAACAAUGCUACCCAGGAUAGAAGUGUAACAAGGAGACUCAGAGGUUGGCAUAAGCCACUCUUGGCAGGUCCCAGUGAAACCGGCUUGAAAUUCAAUGAUAUAAAAUCCAAUAGAAUGACAUACACAAUCAGAACUGUUUUCCUCCAUUCAAUUAAAAUGGGUGACUGCUGUUGGCAGAGGGAAAAUCUGUAACAAAAUAUUGGAAGAAGGUGCAACUUGAAUAGAUUUUAUAGGAAAUCAAACUAUUUUUUCCAUUCUAAGAAAAGGACCAGCAAGCUAAAUUAUAUUAUUUUAAAAUUUGUUUAAUCAAUUACUUCAGUUUUCUUCCCAUGGAAAUUAAAUCGAUGUUUUAAAAAGUCUUAUUAUAUUAAGCCAACAGCUUUGAAUUGGAAUAUGUACACGCUGACAAGAUAGCUGCUCACAUUAAGUAGUGAUAAUAAUGAUGGAUCUGUACAAUUAUGCAUGUGGAAUAGGCCUCAGAGAUGAUCUGGCCCAACCUGCUCAUUUUACAGCUGAGAGAACCGAAUCUAAGACAGUGUGAGUGAAAUGCCCAGGAGCACAAUGGCAGAGCCGGGUUCCUGGCUCUUGGUCCAGCUCUUUUUCCACAGCACUGUUAAAGGCUCGUGUUUUACAAUAACAAUGCAGUUUUUAUCUAGGAAAAGAGAGCAUUUCAUUAAUUUUCCAUAUGCGUGUUAUGGUUGAAACAGUGAAAAAGGAAAUCAUUUCAAUAAAGUUACUUCAAAUAGAA